CAGGAGGAUGGUAAUGAGACUACUAAAGACAUGAUAGGAGCAGAGAAUGGUGCUGCUGAUGAUAGCACUGAAGCCUCCAGUCCCAGCAGAGAAAUGUCAAGCGUCAAGCCUAGUAUUGAUCCUUUUGAUGACAAGCAGACUGAUCCUUUGAAGGCUAACGCAAUGAGGAGCUCUCUGUGGGAAGUUGACACACUCCGCCAUCACUACUGCCCGCCUGUUUCAAGAUUUGUUUUGUCCCUUGAGAACGAUUUGACAGUCAGAGCUAAAACUACUGAAGUAUCAGUCAAGGAUUUCAGUUCUGGUUCAUAUGCAACAAUUUUUGGUGAUGAGAUUAGGAGGCGAGUUAAACAGGUCCCUCUUGCGUUCUACACAGCAACUCCAACUAUGUUGUUUCCGGAGUCUGAUUUUAUAGGUUGGACUUUCAAAAUGAAGGAUAAGGAUAGUGCUACAAUUUCUGCAAAACGAAGUCGAGUGGAGGAGACCUCAUGAUAUUAUCGUGAACCAAAUGGAAGCAAUUCUUUUGAUAAUUUCACUAAGCUGUACUUGAAUGCAUGGCUUAAUUAAAUGUCUUGUAUUUCGUCACUGUAGACUAGUCAGGGUGAGUAUAAAUUUUG
rnacentral:misc_RNA from 1 species